rnacentral:rRNA from 1 species
CGCGAUGUACUUGGGCAACUGAGUGGAUUGGCGAGUGGCGAACGGGUGAGUAAUGCGUAGGAAUUUGUCUUAGAGAGGGGGAUAACCUGGGGAAACUUAGGCUAAUACCGCAUAAUGUUGAGAGACCAAAGGCAGGGGACCGAGAGGCCUUGUGCUCUGAGGGGAGCCUACGUCGGAUUAGCUAGUCGGUGGGGUAAUGGCCUACCGAGGCGACGAUCCGUAGCUGGUCUGAGAGGACGACCAGCCACACUGGGACUGAGACAAGGCCCAGACUCCUACGGGAGGCAGCAGUGAGGGAUAUUGGACAAUGGGGGCAACCCUGAUCCAGCGAUGCCGCGUGUGUGAAGAAGGCCUUUGGG